rnacentral:tRNA from 1 species
UCCCUCAUAGCUCAGUUGGUAAAGAAUCUGCCUGUAAUGCAGAAGACCUGGGUUCGAUUCCUGAGUUGGAA